rnacentral:rRNA from 1 species
UACGAAGGGGGCUAGCGUUGCUCGGAUUUACUGGGCGUAAAGGGUGCGUAGACGGUCUAGUAAGUUAGCAGUGGGAAAUCGAGGCCCAACCUCGUGGAAGUUGUUAAUACUGCUAUACUCGAGUGCAGGAGAGGUUAACGGAACUCUAUGUGGAACGGUAAAAUGUGACGAUAUAUAGAAGAACACCAAUAACGGCGAAGGCAGUUAACUAUUCUGUUACUGACGUUGAGGCACGAAAAGCGUGGGGAGCGAAAAGG